GACGAACGCUGGCGGCGUGCUUAACACAUGCCAGUCGAACGGAAAGGCCCUGCUUUUGUGGGGUGCUCGAGUGGCGAACGGGUGAGUAACACGUGAGUAACCUGCCCUUGACUUUGGGGUAACUUCAGGAAACUGGGGCUAAUACCGGAUAGGAGCUCCUGCUGCCUGGUGGGGGUUGGAAAGUUUCGGCGGUUGGGGAUGGACUCGCGGCUUAUCAGCUUGUUGGUGGGGUAGUGGCUUACCAAGGCUUUGACGGGUAGCCGGCCUGAGAGGGUGACCGGCCACAUUGGGACUGAGAUACGGCCCAGACUCCUACGGGAGGCAGCAGUGGGGAAUAUUGCACAAUGGGCGGAAGCCUGAUGCAGCAACGCCGCGUGCGGGAUGACGGCCUUCGGGUUGUAAACCGCUUUCGCCUGUGACGAAGCGUGAGUGACGGUAAUGGGUAAAGAAGCACCGGCUAACUACGUG
rnacentral:rRNA from 1 species